rnacentral:sRNA from 1 species
CCAGGGGCUGACAUCCUUGGCUAAUGUAUUUCGCCCUUCCAGGGCU